UACGUAGGGUGCAAGCGUUGUCCGGAAUUAUUGGGCGUAAAGAGCUCGUAGGCGGUCUGUCGCGUCGGCUGUGAAAACCCGAGGCUCAACCUCGGGCCUGCAGUCGAUACGGGCAAACUAGAGUACUGCAGGGGAGACUGGAAUUCCUGGUGUAGCGGUGAAAUGCGCAGAUAUCAGGAGGAACACCGGUGGCGAAGGCGGUGCUCUGGGCCGGAACUGACGCUGAGGAGCGAAAGCGUGGGGAGCAAACAGG
rnacentral:rRNA from 1 species